rnacentral:rRNA from 1 species
GUCUACGGCCAUGCCACCCUGAACAAGCCCAAUCCCGUCUGAUCUCGGAAGCUAAGCAGGGUUGGGCCUGGUUAGUACUUGGAUGAGAGACCAUCUAGGAAGAUCAGGUGCUGUAGGCA